UGGGGAAUUUUGGACAAUGGGCGAAAGCCUGAUCCAGCAAUGCCGCGUGUGUGAAGAAGGCCUUCGGGUUGUAAAGCACUUUUGUCCGGAAAGAAAUCCUUGGCUCUAAUACAGUCGGGGGAUUACGGUACCGGAAGAAUAAGCACCGGCUAACUACGUGCCAGCAGCCGCGGUAAUACGUAGGGUGCAAGCGUUAAUCGGAAUUACUGGGCGUAAAGCGUGCGCAGGCGGUUUGCUAAGACCGAUGUGAAAUCCCCGGGCUCAACCUGGGAACUGCAUUGGUGACUGGCAGGCUAGAGUAUGGCAGAGGGGGGUAGAAUUCCACGUGUAGCAGUGAAAUGCGUAGAGAUGUGGAGGAAUACCGAUGGCGAAGGCAGCCCCCUGGGCCAAUACUGACGCUCAUGCACGAAAGCGUGGGGAGCAAAACAGGAUUAGAUACCCUGGUAGUCCACGCCCUAAAACGAUGUCAACUAGUUGUUGGGGAUUCAUUUCCUUAGUAACGUAGCUAACGCGUGAAGUUGACCG
rnacentral:rRNA from 1 species